UUUCACAGAGAAACGUGUAACAUGUUUAGUUUUACAAAUUAAGAAUAGCACUAGCAAUACUUAACAAGUCCUUGCACAAGAGACCAUCUAUUUAUGCAAAGUUAAGAACAAAUACUUAUUAUUUCAACAUGAGCUUAUAUGAAUUUACCUAUUUGUGCUCAGGUUGUUUUUGUCCAAUAUGUAGGGAGCUAGCAGAGGCAACCACGGAGCUCACAUACUCGCCACUACAGGAUAAGGAGUCUUCCUCAUGCUCAAGCCAUUAGAACUAGGACGUGGCUAGCCUCUGUGGGUUUGCUAUGGUGCUAGUUAGCAAGUUGGUGGAUGAUUUGCCACUCGAAGCUGAUUUAGGUGCUAGUCUCUCUCUUUUGGAUAACCAGUUACAUGAGCUUCUUAUCUUAGUUCGGGUAGCAAGUAGGUUUACUUGAAGUAUGUUGGUGGGACAUGUAAUAUGAAAUUGGUAAUUAGCAAGUGACUAUUGUAUAUAAUUAGCAAGUGACAUGUAUAUAAGACCCUGGCAGAUCA